GACGUAGGAGGCGAGCGUUAUCCGGAUUCAUUGGGCGUAAAGGGCAAGUAGGCGGUGGCCAAAGUUGGGCGUGACAUCUCCCGGCUCAACUGGGAGGGGUCGUUCAAAACUAGGUCACUAGAGGGCAGGAGAGGGAAGCGGAAUUCCUAGUGUAGCGGUGGAAUGCUCAGAUAUUAGGAAGAACACCAGUGGCGAAGGCGGCUUCCUGGCCUGUACCUGACGCUGAGAGGCGAAAGCUAGGGUAGCAAACGGGCUUAGAUACCCCGGUAGUCCCUGAG
rnacentral:rRNA from 1 species